rnacentral:rRNA from 1 species
UACGUAGGGGGCAAGCGUUGUCCGGAUUUAUUGGGCGUAAAGAGCGUGUAGGCGGCUUUACAGGUCCGUUGUGAAAACUCGAGGCUCAACCUCGAGACGCCGGUGGAAACCGUAAAGCUAGAGUCCGGAAGAGGAGAGUGGAAUUCCUGGUGUAGCGGUGAAAUGCGCAGAUAUCGGGAAGAACACCCGUGGCGAAGGCGGUUCUCUGGGCCGACAUUGACGCUGAGGAGCGAAAGCGUGGGGAGCGAACAGG